rnacentral:rRNA from 1 species
GAUCCUGGCUCAGGAUGAACGCUAGCUACAGGCUUAACACAUGCAAGUCGAGGGGCAGCAUGGUCUUAGCUUGCUAAGGCCGAUGGCGACCGGCGCACGGGUGAGUAACACGUAUCCAACCUGCCGUCUACUCUUGGACAGCCUUCUGAAAGGAAGAUUAAUACAAGAUGGCAUCAUGAGUCCGCAUGUUCACAUGAUUAAAGGUAUUCCGUAGUACGAGAGGUAGGGUA